rnacentral:rRNA from 1 species
ACAAUGGGGGCAACCCUGAUCUAGCCAUGCCGCGUGAGUGAUGAAGGCCUUAGGGUCGUAAAGCUCUUUCGCCUGUGAUGAUAAUGACAGUAGCAGGUAAAGAAACCCCGGCUAACUCCGUGCCAGCAGCCGCGGUAAUACGGAGGGGGUUAGCGUUGUUCGGAAUUACUGGGCGUAAAGCGCGCGUAGGCGGAUUAGAAAGUUGGGGGUGAAAUCCCGGGGCUCAACCCCGGAACUGCCUCCAAAACUGCUAGUCUAGAGUUCGAGAGAGGUGAGUGGAAUUCCGAGUGUAGAGGUGAAAUUCGUAGAUAUUCGGAGGAACACCAGUGGCGAAGGCGGCUCACUGGCUCGAUACUGACGCUGAGGUGCGAAAGUGUGGGGAGCAAACAGGAUUAGAUACCCUGGUAGUCCACACCGUAAACGAUGAAUGCCAGUCGUCGGGUAGUAUACUAUUCGGUGACACACCUAACGGAUUAAGCAUCCGCGUGGAUACCCCCCCG